rnacentral:rRNA from 1 species
AUUGAACGCUGGCGGCAAGCCUAACACAUGCAAGUCGAACGAGUGGCGGACGGGUGAGUAAUGUCUGGGAAACUGCCUGAUGGAGGGGGAUAACUACUGGAAACGGUAGCUAAUACCGCAUACACUCGACUUUCCCAAGAUGGGUUUAGCUAUUAGUGGGGGUAAAGGUCCACCUAGGCGACGAUCCCUAGCUGGUCUGAGAGGAUGACCAUCCACACUGGAACUGAGACACGGUCCAGACUCCGACGGGAGGCAGCAGUGGGGAAUAUUGCACAAUGGGCGCAAGCCUGAUGCAGCCAUGCCGCGUGUAUGAAGAAGGCCUUCGGGUUGUAAAGUACUUUCAGCGGGGAGGCGUUACCCGCAGAAGAAGCACCGGCUAACUCCGUGCCAGCAGCCGCGGUAAUUC